GUCUACGGUCACACUAUCCUGAAGGUGCCUGAUCUCGUCUGAUCUCGUGGAGCUAAGCAGGGUUGGGCCUGGUUAAUACGUGGAUG
rnacentral:rRNA from 1 species